UCCKUGACGAGUCGCGGACCUCAGCUCCCCGUUUCGCGGCGCCUCGGCGAGUUGUAAAUUGCCGGUUGGAGUCUUUGUGGCGGCGUGUGUCURAGUCCCUUGGAACAGGGCGCCMUUGAGGGUGARAGCCCCGUGCGGCACGCGCYUAAGCUUUAARACCCUUCUGACGAGUCSAGUUGUUUGGGAAUGCAGCUCUWAGUGGGUGGUAAAUUCCAUCUAAGGCUAARUACUGGCGAGAGACCGAUMGCGAACAAGUACUGUGAAGGAAAGAUGAAAAGCACUUUGAAAAGAGAGUGAAACASCMCGUGAAAUUGUUGAAAGGSAARGGUAUUGGGCUCGACAUGGGGACUGCRCACCGUUGCUUCUUGUAGGCGGSGCUYUGUGCSGUUUCUGGGCCAGCAUCASUUUUUGCCGCGRGASAAUGGGGGGAGGAACSUGSCUCUUCGGAGUGUUAUAKCCUCUCUCAGAUGCCGCGAGCGGGGACUGAGGUCUGCGAUUCGUUCAAGGAUGCUGGCACAACGGCGCAAUACCGCCCGUCUUGAACMACGGACCA
rnacentral:rRNA from 1 species